rnacentral:rRNA from 1 species
UACGUAGGUGGCAAGCGUUACUCGGAAUCACUAGGCGUAAAGCGCAGGUAGGCGGUUCGGUAAGUCUUUUGUGAAAGCUCCCGGCUCAACUGGGAGAGGUCAAAGGAAACUACCGGGCUAGAGUGUGGUAGGGGAAACUGGAAUUCCUGGUGUAGCGGUGAAAUGCGUAGAUAUCAGGAGGAACACCUAUGGCGAAAGCAGGUUUCUGGGCCAUCACUGACGCUGAGCUGCGAAAGCUAGGGGAGCAAACAGG